UCCAUGGAAGAUAAUGACUCG
rnacentral:miRNA from 1 species